AUACUGAGAGUAUCUACCAAUGUACAGCUGCCUUCCAAGCAGAAAGACCUAAUAGGUCAGUAUAC
rnacentral:tRNA from 2 species